rnacentral:rRNA from 1 species
UGGGGAAUUUUGGACAAUGGGCGAAAGCCUGAUCCAGCAAUGCCGCGUGCAGGAUGAAGGCCUUCGGGUUGUAAACUGCUUUUGUACGGAACGAAAAGUCUCGGGAUAAUACCCUGGGACCAUGACGGUACCGUAAGAAUAAGCACCGGCUAACUACGUGCCAGCAGCCGCGGUAAUACGUAGGGUGCAAGCGUUAAUCGGAAUUACUGGGCGUAAAGCGUGCGCAGGCGGUUAUAUAAGACAGAUGUGAAAUCCCCGGGCUCAACCUGGGAACUGCAUUGUGACUGUAUAGCUAGAGUACGGUAGAGGGGGAUGGAAUUCCGCGUGUAGCAGUGAAAUGCGUAGAUAUGCGGAGGAACACCGAUGGCGAAGGCAAUCCCCUGGACCUGUACUGACGCUCAUGCACGAAAGCGUGGGGAGCAAACAGGAUUAGAUACCCUGGUAGUCCACGCCCUAAACGAUGUCAACUGGUU